AACGCGAAGAACCUUACCAGGACUUGACAUAAUAUUGACCGGUAUAGAGAUAUACCUUUUUCUUCGGAAACAGUAUUACAGGUGGUGCAUGGUUGUCGUCAGCUCGUGUCGUGAGAUGUUGGGUUAAGUCCCGCAACGAGCGCAACCCUUAUCUUUAGUUGCCAGCACGUAAUGGUGGGAACUCUAAAGAGACUGCCGAUGAUAAAUCGGAGGAAGGUGGGGAUGACGUCAAAUCAUCAUGCCCUUUAUGUCCUGGGCUACACACGUGCUACAAUGGUUGGAAACAAAGAGAAGCUAAACAGUGAUGUCAUGCAAAUCUCAUAAAGCCAAUCUCAGUUCGGAUUGUAGGCUGCAACUCGCCUACAUGAAGUCGGAGUUGCUAGUAAUCGCAGAUCAGAAUGCUGCGGUGAAUGCGUUCCCGGGCCUUGUACACACCG
rnacentral:rRNA from 1 species